rnacentral:rRNA from 1 species
CGGACGAACGGCUGGCGGCAUGCCUAAUACAUGCAAGUCGAACGCGGCCAUCCGGUGCUUGCACUGGUGAAGCCGAGUGGCGAACGGGUGAGUAACACGUGAGAAACCUGCCCUGGAGUGGGGAAUAACUCGAAGAAAUUCGAGCUAAUACCGCAUACCUUCUCUUCACCGCAUGGUGAGUUGAAGAAAGAUUUAUCGCUCUAGGAGGGUCUCGCGGCCUAUCAGCUAGUUGGUGAGGUAAUGGCUCACCAAGGCAUCGACGGGUAGCUGGUCUGAGAGGACGAUCAGCCACACUGGGACUGAGACACGGCCCAGACUCCUACGGGAGGCAGCAGUAGGGAAUCUUGCGCAAUGGGCGAAAGCCUGACGCAGCAAUGCCGCGUGCGGGACGAAGGCCCUAGGGUCGUAAACCGCUUUCAGUAGGGACGAAAAUGACGGUACCUGCAGAAGAAGCUCCGGCCAACUACGUG